GCCAUACAGAACGCAACCAAAAAACUUCAUAUUCCAUCACCGUUCAAGGCGUCGUCGAUCCCGCCGGGGUAUUCACCGACGUUUGCAUUGGGUGGCCGGGAUCGAUGCAGGACGAUCAAGUUCUUGAGAAAUCAGUUCUUUUCGAAAGAGCAAACAUGGGGUUGUUAAACGACGUUUUCAUCGUCGGAAAUUCAGGAUACCCAUUAAUGGAUUGGCUUUUAGUUCCUUAUACAGUACAAAAUUUGACAUGGACACAGCAUGCUUUUAAUGAGAAAGUUGGGGAAAUCCAGG
rnacentral:misc_RNA from 1 species